UUAAAUCUAAAAGCGAAGAAAUUUUUCAAGAAAAAUAUCUGGCAGACUUCUCUCAUGUCUCCUGAACUUGAAUGAGUCACUAAACUGGAAGCAGGCCAUUGCCAAGAGGAGUAGGGUGGACAGUUUUUAAAACUUGCCUCAUGACCUACUAGUGGGUUGGGAAAUCAAAUUUGGUGGUCAGGAUCAUCAUUAAAAAAAAGAAAUAGAAUAGAAGAAACAUAUCAAAGUAUAAUGCAGAUCAUAAAGGUGAAUAUUGUUUUUUAAAGCAUCUUUUCAGUUUUCUAUAAAAAGUAUAUAGUAUGCAUGUGUGUGUACUAAGUUGCCAUGUUCCUUUCCUUUCUCUGAGUUACAGGAGAGAAAGUUUGUAGUCUCAGCUUUCAUUCUGAGCUGGGGAUAGAGCUACCCUCUGAUGGCUAGGGGCCAGAGCAGAAUAUAGGUCUGUUAGGAAGAAGAGAUGAGUAGAUAUUGAAUACCUAAGCAGAAAAAAUUGUUACAUCUCUUGAUAUAUAUUUUUUCUUUCAUGGUGAAUUCUCUGUAUUUCCCUAUUUUCAGACUCCAGUUGAUGAAAACAUGCCAUUUUGCCCAAGUCAAAGGAUCACAGAUAUUCAUACAAACAUAAAUCUUCUAUUUUUGUUCAAUUAGCAGAACUAAAAUACAAGAGAAAAAUUAUUGGCUCUCUUUUGGAGAUAGGCAGCAAGAACAGCAACAGUAAUCCCUGAAAAUAACUGCCAGACUUAGAAAAAAAAGAAAUUACUUUUAUAUUUCGGAUAGACAUCAACAGAAUUCCAUGGAGCAGAGUGUGGAGCGAUCUGGGAAGUGGCUGAGCUUUCUCUCUGGAGCAAAACAUGAAGAUGAAGUGGAAGAAAAAAUGUGGCAGAGAAGGAAAAGUAAUCUCUACACCCAGCUUGGGGCUUGAACUCACCACCCUGAGAUCAAGAGUCACAUGGUCUUCUGACUGAGCCAGCCAGGUGCCUCUGGUUUUGUGUUUUAGAGUGAAUCUCCCAGAAUCGGUGAGCAAAAUCCCUAACUGCCAAUUUGGUCCAGAAAAAACAGUAUAAAAUGUGCUAACUGCCAUUGUCAUUCACAUCUGGCUGACAGGUGGAUUUUACUAACAAUGCACCUUCAUGGUAGCUUUCUAUUUCAGUUAUUCUUACUAAAUAUAUGUUCUGUUCUGUUGUUUCCCUGCUGCUGAAGCAGUGUGUGUAAUGUCAAGAAGCAUAAGGACAAGUAUUUUAGUCACACAAUUGAAGAGACCAUUAUUUAAAGAUUUCAUCUUCUAAUUCUGGUUGCUCAGACGAUGAUGCCUAUAGCCACUCUUCUUGUAUGACUUCCUUUCCUGAUACUCAGUUUCUUGCUCUGCAUAUUGGAG
rnacentral:lncRNA from 12 species